AACGCUGGCGGCGCGCUUAACACAUGCAAGUCGAGCGAGAACCGGGGCUUCGGCCCCGGGGACAGCGGCGAACGGGUGAGUAACACGUGGGUAAUCUGCCCUCGGUUCUGGGAUAGCCCGGGGAAACCCGGAUUAAUACCGGAUAGCCUCUCUGGCCUUUGGGCCGGCGAGAAAAGGUAGCUUCGGCCUCCGACCGAGGAUGAGCCCGCGGCGGAUUAGCUCGUUGGUGGGGUAACGGCUCACCAAGGCGGCGGUCCGUAGCUGGUCUGAGAGGACGAUCAGCCACACUGGGACUAAGACACGGCCCAGACUCCUACGGGGGGCAGCAGGGGGGAAUCUUGCGCAAUGGGCGAAAGCCUGACGCAGCGACGCCGCGUGAGGGAAGAAGGCCUUCGGGUUGUAAACCUCUUUCAGGUGGGACGAAGCCACUCGGGUGAAUAGCCCAGAGGGUGACGGUACCUCCAGAAGAAGCCCCGGCUAACUACGUGCCAGCCGCCGCCGUAA
rnacentral:rRNA from 1 species